GUAAUUUUGCUGUAAUUUCAGGCUUAAAAACUGAAAGAACAGUACAAAAGUUUCACUCUUCAUCUACAUCCCCCAAAUGUAAACACUUUUUAAAUUUACUCUUUUUAAAAUCAACUAUAUUUCAACAAAAAAUUUUUUAAUGUUUCUUCAGUUUCUGUUGUACAGCAAAGUGACCUAAUCACACACAGUUCCCUGCACUGUGCACUAUGACUCCAUUGCCCAUCCAUUCCCAAAUGUAAUAAUUUGCAUGUACCAACCCGAAACUCCCCAACCAUCCCAAUCCCUCCCUCCUCCCCCCCCUGGCAAUCAUAAGUGUGCUCUCCUUGGCCAUGAUCUAUUCCUGCUUCAUAGACAAGAUCAUCUUGCCAUAUUUUAGAUUCCACAAAUAAGUGAUAUCAUGUGAUAUUUGUCUUUUUUCUUUUUGACUUCACUUAGUAUGAGAAUCUUUAGUUGCAUCCAUGUUGCUGAAAAUGGCAUUACUUUGUUCCUUUUUAUGGCUGAGUAGUAUUCUAUUGCAUGUAUGUAACCUUAUCUUCUUAAUCCAUUCAUCUGUCAAUGGAUAUUUAGAUUGUUUCCAUGUCUUGUCUAUUGUGAAUAGCACUGCGAUGAACAUAGGGGUGCAUCAUCUUUUUGAAUUGUAGUUUUGUCCAGACAUAUGCCCAGGAGUGGGACCGCUGGAUACAGUAGUUAUAUAUUUAGUUUUAUGAGGUACUUGCAUACUGUUUUCCACAGUGGUUGUACCAUUUUAUAUUCCCACCAACAGUGAAGGAAGGUACUCUUUUAUCCACACCCUCUCCAGCAUUUUUUAUUUGUUGACUUCUUAAUGAUGGCCUUCUGAUCAUAUGAAGUGGUACCUCAUUUUAGGUUGAGUCUGACUCUCAGGUCCAAAGUGCCCAUCCUGAUAGUGGGUACAUAGUUCUUCCUUGGGAUCAUUUCCAUACUGGUUGCAGAGCCCAAAGACCAAACAACUUGACAGGCUGUCUGGAGUGUGAAUUCCUUUGGAUUCUCCAGUGGUAUAACCAUGAAUCCAAAAGCAUUUGCUUUGAAUGUUGUGCAUGCAAUUUUUGAAAGUCAGGCUUUUAUCGGAUGUGGUAUCAGAAAAGCAGUGCUUGUGGGCUGCAAUGGAGUGUGUAGAAGUGGUGUUUUGGCUGGCCAGGCUGUGCUCAUCACUGGGAUCUAGCUCUGAAAUUUCUCCCGAGUUCCUUUUUAUCUUUCUACCUAAGCUGGUGUUUCAUGUCAGUCACCCCUGAGAAAAGAACAUUAGCUGACAUGGGAUCUCUUGUAUUAAUUCAGGUGCGCAGAUGGAUUUCCAGCUGGUGACCUGACUUGAUGUGGGAUCUGCUGAUGGACGUAGAGUAGUGGUGUUGGAGAAGGAGGGAAAGGAGAAAGUGCUCAGGGAGACUAUGAGAGAGAAAUACCGCCCUCUGUAAGGUGACACAUAGCAGUUCUCAGAAGGAGAGUAGGAUGGAAAUCAGCUGUCAAGUGCCCAAAGUCAGUGCAGUCCAUCCAUGGGUGCGGUCUGAAGGGCUCUGAGUUGUUAGGGAGCCUGGCCACCAGAGGGUGCCAGAGCGCAGGCAGAGCUCAGCAGAUGAUUGGUGUUGGCAUAUCCCAGCUCAGAGGUGGGGUUGGAGAUGGGGCUGGUGGAUCCCCUGGGACUUGCCUAGUGAGCAGUGGUAGGUUACAUGUUGCCUCUGAUAGAAAGGACAUGGCUCUGCCUUCACAUCUGUGGGGUACUUUCAGACAGCUCGGGUAGCCCAAAGUCUGGACAUCUGGACGGGCUGUUGUAGUUCUGACUACCUUUGGAUUCGGCCAUGGUAGAAAUCUGAACCUAAAAGUAAUUGGCUUAAAUAUUGGGCAUGCAGUUUUCCAGGAUCAGGUUUGCAUGUUCUUUGGCUUUGGGAAAGCUGGGCAGAUGGUCAUAAAUGGAGAGUGUAAAAGCAGAGGUGUCUUGGUGGGCGGGUUGCGUCGAUCCCACAGACUUGAUUCUGGAGUGUUCUCUGAAAAUUUCCUUUUUCUUCUUCCAUCCGCCCCCCCUCUCCUUUUGUGUACCCAUGAGGGAAAAUACAACUUCAAGCCAAGUCACAUAAAUUAGGAGGGGAGGCUGAUUAAUUUAAAUCCAGUUACCUGAUUUGGAGUGGGUUCGGCUCACUGACUAAGAGAGGAGUGGUGAAGGUUAGGGAGGAGUGAAUGCCAUGGCCAACUUCAGGAGACAAAUACCCCCCUCUGUAAGGCGCUUGGUUGCUCUUAGAUAGGAGGAAUUAAAUCAGCCUUCGGGCGCACAUGGCCAGUGCAGCCCAUGGGUUACUUCAGGAGACAGGAGAAAAGGCUCUGAGUUAUAAUUAGAGAGAAUUGCCACCAGAGGGUGCCAAAGCGCCAGCCAUGCCCAGCAGCUGCUUGGUAUUGGGCACUUCCAGGCUCAAAGCGUUUGAUGGAGGAGUUCCCCUCGUGGCUCAGUGGUUAACGAAUCCGACUAGGAACCAUGAGGUUGCAGGUUCUCACGUUGCUGUGGCUCUGGCUUAGGCCAGCAGCUACAGCUCCGAUUAGACCCUUAGCCUGGGAACCUCCAUAUGCUGUGGGAGUGGCCCUAGAAAAGGCAAAAAACAAAAGAAAAAAAAGAUGGGGUUUUGAGAUGGGGAUGGGGAUCCCCCAGGAGGAAUCCAUCUAGGUGGGGAAGCUUCCAGUCCACCUCUGACUCUUCUAUCCAAAUUGGCUUACUUGAUAAAAGGGAAAUGGUUCUGCCUUCACACAUCUGGGUCAGAGUCAGUUGGCCCAAGUAGCCCAAAGUCCAUACCACUAGACAGUCUGUCGGGGGUCUGACUGCCACUCAUGUUUCCAAAAGCUGAACUCUAAAACCAGAAGCACUUGGCUUGAGUACUGGGCAUGCAGUUUUCCAGAGUCGGGCUUGCAAGGUGUUCGGCCUCUAGAGAGGUAGGCUGCUGACUGUGAAUGGAGAGCAUAAAAGCAGAGGUCCUUUGGUGGGCAAGCUGUGUCCAUCUCAGAGACCUCUUGUGUAAGGGAUUUCUGAAAAUUUCCAUAUUUGUCUUCCAUCUAAGCCUCUCCCUCCUAUCAAGCAGCCCCGAGGAAAAAUCUUACCUCAAGCCAGGUAGCAUAAAAUAAGAGGCAGUGAGAAGGGAACGGGGGUGGGAAAUAAUUUCAAGCUGGUUACCUGACUGGAAGUGUGUUCAGCUGAUUGGCUUAAAGGAGUGCUGAUGGAUAGGGAGCAGGGAGGGAUACAGGAGAGCUUCAGAGAGAAUUACCACCCUUCAGAAUGUUUAUGUCAGAAUGUUGAUGUUUAUGUCUGCAAGAGGAGGAACCA
rnacentral:lncRNA from 1 species